AUUUUCAGGCUGCUGGGUCCGGGACUCGAACCUCAGUCUUCCAUGUGGGAAUCCAGUACCUCGACCACCAUGCCAUCUCUGCCCCCUGGGUAUGCAGUUUUUGAGUGGGGAUAUGGCAGUUAGUCCCUGUUUUCCUUUUUGCUUUGCAGCAUCACUCCACACCUGAAGAAGCCGAGACACCCAGCACUGCAGGAGGAACCCCGAGCACAGCGGUCAGCGACUUGCCCGGGCCACCCAGGCUGUUGUACCCCAGGACCCACGCUCAGGACCAGAUUCGCUUUCCAGGGCUAGAGGCGACCCGAUGGACGAACGGAGGGCAAGACGAAGCCCCCACCCUGGCCUGCACACCCACAAACAAAGCAAACCCAGAAAGGGUGUGAGCCGGGCACGGGAAGCUCCUCCCGGACAGCAGGUGACAGAAUUAACGGUGGCACAGAACGCCUCAGGGUCACACUGGCACAUCCUGUGAGGCAAAGUCAGCUGCAGGGAGUCGGAUGGAGAGGAGUUCGGAAAGGUCACUGCUACCCUAGUAUGGAGGGGGCGGCAUUUCCUCUGCAAGGAUAAAAGGGGACUACCCAGAAGCUGCCGUAUUCAAAACAGAAGUCACGUGGUCACAACGAGCCCGCAGGUGGCUCAGAUCCGGAACCCGCCGCCCCUGGCCCUCCCCGGGGCAUCCGCG